rnacentral:misc_RNA from 1 species
UUUCCGUAGGUGAACCUGCGGAAGGAUCAUUAAAAAAUAUCACUUGACUGAAAGUGAUUUAAUAAUCAUCCUACCCUUUGUGAAUUUGUUGUUGAAAUAAUUUUUUUUUUGACGUGGAAUAAAAAAAAAAUUAUUUAUGGUUUUGUCUAUCCCUAAAUUGGUUUGUUUGUUGUAAAAGACAAGUGAAUCAUUUAGGGAAUGGCUUUCCUAAAUAGUUGAUUUUUUUUCCAAUGUCUUAAAAGACCUUUUUUUAAAAUUAAACUUUUGUAUUCAUUUGUCUAAAAUAAUUUUUAAAAUAAUUUAAAAACAACUUUUGACAAUGGAUCUCUUGGUUCUCGCAACGAUGAAGAACGCAGCAAAAUGCGAUAAGUAAUGUGAAUUGCAGAAUACGUGAAUCAUCAAAUCUUCGAACGCAUAUUGCACUUUUUUAGUUUACUAAAAAGUAUGUCUGUUUGAGUAUCAGUAAAAUAUUCUCAUAAAAACAUUUUUGUUUUUAUGGUUAUGAGUGUUUUACAACGAUAAACAAGUUGUUUCACUUUAAAUUCAUUUUAAUUUAAGACCAUUUAUGGUUUUAAUAAUAAAAUUGGAUAAAAUUUUCCCGUAAAAAGGAAUAAACUUUUCAGUUUUAGUUAGAGAAAUCUCGGUCCGAUUUUAAAAGGAAAUUUAUAAUUUAAAUAACUUGAUCUCAAAUCAGAUAAGAGUACCCGCUGAACUUAAGCAUAUCAAUAAGCGGAGGAAAAGAAACUAACAAGGAUUCCCUUAGUAACGGCGAGUGAAGCGGGAAGAGCUCAAAUUUGAAAUCUUCAAGGUUCUACCUUGACGAAUUGUAGUUUAAAGAAGUGUUUUCUGUUAGAUGAGUAGCAAAGUUCCUUGGAAUGGGACAUCAUAGAGGGUGAGAAUCCCGUAUUUGGUUAUUCAUUCUAGCUUUGUGAUACACUUUCAAAGAGUCGGAUUGUUUGGGAAUGCAGUCCAAAAUGGGUGGUAAAUUUCAUCUAAAGCUAAAUAUUGGCGAGAGACCGAUAGCGAACAAGUACCGUGAGGGAAAGAUGAAAAGAACUUUGAAAAGAGAGUUAAACAGUACGUGAAAUUGUCAAAAGGGAAGCGUUUGACACCAGUGUUGUUUUUCCGAAAAUCAAUUACGAAUGGCUUGAUUUUGUGUUGUAUUGACCUUAUCAGCUUUCUGCACUUUUUUCGAGUCUUUCUUAAUGCACUUUUCGGUUAACAAGUCAACAUCAAUUUCUUUUGUUGUAAAAGAGUAUUCGGAAGGUGGCUUUCUUUUCGGAGAAAGUGUUUAUAGCCCUAUACUUCUACAAUCGGAGAGAUUGAGGUCUGCAGCGUAGAUCCUUCGGGGUUAGAUACAUUUGUGCUAAGUUGUAGCUUUUCAUAGACAACUUGUUGACUAUGUUUAGUCAUGCGGCUUACUCGCUUAUGCUAUUUUACCUACGCUUAGGAUGUUGAC